GUCAACAUGUCCGAGUGGUUAAGGAGAUAGACUCGAAAUCUAUUGGGCGCUGCCUGUGCCGGUUUGAAUCUUGCUGUUGACG
rfam:Ipomoea nil DNA, scaffold: scaffold3065, cultivar: Tokyo-kokei standard.